ACUCGAAGAGUAGGGCGGGACACGUGGUAUCCUGUCUGAAUAUGGGGGGACCAUCCUCCAAGGCUAAAUACUCCUGACUGACCGAUAGUGAACCAGUACCGUGAGGGAAAGGCGAAAAGAACCCCGGCGAGGGGAGUGAAAAAGAACCUGAAACCGUGUACGUACAAGCAGUGGGAGCCUCUUUAUGGGGUGACUGCGUACCUUUUGUAUAAUGGGUCAGCGACUUAUAUUCUGUAGCAAGGUUAACCGUAUAGGGGAGCCGAAGGGAAACCGAGUCUUAACUGGGCGUUAAGUUGCAGGGUAUAGACCCGAAACCCGGUGAUCUAGCCAUGGGCAGGUUGAAGGUUGGGUAACACUAACUGGAGGACCGAACCGACUAAUGUUGAAAAAUUAGCGGAUGACCUGUGGCUGGGGGUGAAAGGCCAAUCAAACCGGGAGAUAGCUGGUUCUCCCCGAAAGCUAUUUAGGUAGCGCCUCGUGAACUCAUCUUCGGGGGUAGAGCACUGUUUCGGCUAGGGGGCCAUCCCGGCUUACCAACCCGAUGCAAACUACGAAUACCGAAGAAUGUUAUCACGGGAGACACACGGCGGGUGCUAACGUCCGUCGUGAAGAGGGAAACAACCCAGACCGCCAGCUAAGGUCCCAAAGUCAUGGUUAAGUGGGAAACGAUGUGGGAAGGCACAGACAGCCAGGAUGUUGGCUUAGAAGCAGCCAUCAUUUAAAGAAAGCGUAAUAGCUCACUGGUCGAGUCGGCCUGCGCGGAAGAUGUAACGGGGCUAAACCAUGCACCGAAGCUGCGGCAGCGACACUAUGUGUUGUUGGGUAGGGGAGCGUUCUGUAAGCCGUUGAAGGUGUGCUGUGAGGCAUGCUGGAGGUAUCAGAAGUGCGAAUGCUGACAUAAGUAACGAUAAAGCGGGUGAAAAGCCCGCUCGCCGGAAGACCAAGGGUUCCUGUCCAACGUUAAUCGGGGCAGGGUGAGUCGACCCCUAAGGCGAGGCCGAAAGGCGUAGUCGAUGGGAAACAGGUUAAUAUUCCUGUACUUGGUGUUACUGCGAAGGGGGGACGGAGAAGGCUAUGUCAGCCGGGCGACGGUUGUCCCGGUUUAAGCAUGUAGGCGGAGGUUCCAGGUAAAUCCGGUACCUUUUAACGCUGAGGUGUGAUGACGAGGCACUACGGUGCUGAAGUGAUAAAUGCCCUGCUUCCAGGAAAAGCCUCUAAGCAUCAGGUAACACGAAAUCGUACCCCAAACCGACACAGGUGGUCAGGUAGAGAAUACCAAGGCGCUUGAGAGAACUCGGGUGAAGGAACUAGGCAAAAUGGUGCCGUAACUUCGGGAGAAGGCACGCUGAUAUGUAGGUGAAGUCCCUGCGGACGGAGCUGAAAUCAGUCGAAGAUACCAGCUGGCUGCAACUGUUUAUUAAAAACACAGCACUGUGCAAACACGAAAGUGGACGUAUACGGUGUGACGCCUGCCCGGUGCCGGAAGGUUAAUUGAUGGGGUUAGCGGCAACGCGAAGCUCUUGAUCGAAGCCCCGGUAAACGGCGGCCGUAACUAUAACGGUCCUAAGGUAGCGAAAUUCCUUGUCGGGUAAGUUCCGACCUGCACGAAUGGCGUAAUGAUGGCCAGGCUGUCUCCACCCGAGACUCAGUGAAAUUGAACUCGCUGUGAAGAUGCAGUGUACCCGCGGCAAGACGGAAAGACCCCGUGAACCUUUACUAUAGCUUGACACUGAACACUGGUCCUUGAUGUGUAGGAUAGGUGGGAGGCUUUGAAGCGUGGACGCCAGUCUGCGUGGAGCCAUCCUUGAAAUACCACCCUUUAAUGGCUGGUGUUCUAACGUAGACCCGUGAUCCGGGUUGCGGACAGUGUCUGGUGGGUAGUUUGACUGGGGCGGUCUCCUCCCAAAGAGUAACGGAGGAGCACGAAGGUUGGCUAAUCCUGGUCGGACAUCAGGAGGUUAGUGCAAUGGCAUAAGCCAGCUUGACUGCGAGCGUGACGGCGCGAGCAGGUGCGAAAGCAGGUCAUAGUGAUCCGGUGGUUCUGAAUGGAAGGGCCAUCGCUCAACGGAUAAAAGGUACUCCGGGGAUAACAGGCUGAUACCGCCCAAGAGUUCAUAUCGACGGCGGUGUUUGGCACCUCGAUGUCGGCUCAUCACAUCCUGGGGCUGAAGUAGGUCCCAAGGGUAUGGCUGUUCGCCAUUUAAAGUGGUACGCGAGCUGGGUUUAGAACGUCGUGAGACAGUUCGGUCCCUAUCUGCCGUGGGCGCUGGAGAAUUGAGGGGGGCUGCUCCUAGUACGAGAGGACCGGAGUGGACGCAUCACUGGUGUUCGGGUUGUCAUGCCAAUGGCACUGCCCGGUAGCUAAAUGCGGAAGAGAUAAGUGCUGAAAGCAUCUAAGCACGAAACUUGCCCCGAGAUGAGUUCU
rnacentral:rRNA from 1 species